CCUACGGGAGGCAGCAGUGGGGAAUCUUGCGCAAUGGGCGAAAGCCUGACGCAGCAACGCCGCGUGCGGGAAGAAGGCUCUCGGGUUGUAAACCGCUUUCAGCAGGAACGAAAAUGACGGUACUUGCAGAAGAAGGUGCGGCCAACUACGUGCCAGCAGCCGCGGUGACACGUAGGCACCAAGCGUUGUCCGGAUUUAUUGGGCGUAAAGAGCUUGUAGGCGGUUCGGUAAGUCAGGUGUGAAAACUUUGGGCUCAACCCAAAGCCUGCAUCUGAUACUGCUGUGACUAGAGUUCGGUAGGGGAGCGGGGAAUUCCUAGUGUAGCGGUGAAAUGCGCAGAUAUUAGGAGGAACACCGGUGGCGAAGGCGCCGCUCUGGGCCGAAACUGACGCUGAGGAGCGAAAGCGUGGGUAGCAAACAGGAUUAGAUACCCUGGUAGUCCACGCCGUAAACGUUGGGCACUAGGUGUGGGUUUCAACCAACGAAAUCCGCGCCGUCGCUAACGCAUUAAGUGCCCCGCCUGGGGGAGGUACGGCCGCGAGUAAACGUACGAAGAAGUAGACGG
rnacentral:rRNA from 1 species